ensembl:lncRNA
GGAAGUAUUUGACCACUGAGCACCUUGGGGGUACGAUAGAGAAAAGCCCUUUUUAGGGAUGAGGAAUCGCAAAGCUCCAGGAUAUUCCAUAGUCUCAGCGUUGGUCAGCGCUGGGCAGGUGGGCUCCAGCUGCAGUCAGCGUGCUGGUGCAACAAGAGCUACCCAAUAUAACCGAAGAUCAGGGGAAAGAUACAGCUGAGUGAUCCACGAGAAGGGUAGAUGGACUUUCCACUCGGGAAGGAGAAGCAAAGACGUUGCUGUCUAGUGUAGCAUGAAGUCUCUCACCUGAUGGGACAGGACUGACCGUGGAAAGCUGCUCCAGGGGGAAGGGCCAGCGGACUGACUGCUCUAGUGGGACAACAGAAGAGAUGCUACUUCUCAGGGGAGUAAGAAGGUGAAGGACAGUUAUGCUGAGGGGAAAGUGUGGGGAAGAGAGCACAAUGGAUUGGUUUAUUCGUCCUAACAAACAUCGUUCUGAUACUUAUUUUACACUCACAAAUAUUGUGAAGCUUAGCAUUUGGGGAUGCUUUUUAAUUCUGAGAUAAAGUGUGCUUAAAAUAUGGAAAUAUAACAUGUUAUAAACAGUAUGUUUCCAAAUUCUCAGACCUACAUUUACAUCACUGCUCCUUGUUCUAAUGAUACAGAAAACACAUGGCAGGGAAAUUCAAUAUUAAAACCAGGAAGGACUCUUGCCGCAAAGACUGUUGAGUAGCCUGAGCUCCGAGUGCUUGUAAUUCCUUGUAACAAGUUCAGUGAUCAGUGACACCACUUUGGCAGCUGUAGGUGGGCUGGGAAUUGCAUCAUGGUGCUAAUGACAGAGUAAUAAUGAAGUGUUUAACCUCAGACGUCCUUGAGUGUAUGGUGAAAUACCAGAGGAUGAAACUGCCUCCUGCUCUGUAUGGAGAAUAUUGUAUGCCACGUACUCUGGGCACAGCUAGAAACUGUAAAAUGGAAUAGCAAACUACCAGUUGGGAUAAUUCAACUUACUGGAUUUUACCUACAGUUUUCACAGUGCCUGACUUCUGAAGACAUGAUUUUUCAUGUUCAAUAUCUUAUAAACACAUAGUCAUUGCUGGGGGCACUUAGGAUCCUACAGAAAAUUAUGCAGUCACUUGGUACCAAGGAAUUUAUACUUAAUUUGGGAUGUGUCCCCUUAGUGUUUCAGCAUAGUAAAGCAGCUUGAAAGAAGCCAUGCGCAGAGAUGAUCUCUGGGAAGAGUGCUGUGUGCUAGUUCACCAACCGUGAGUGCCUAGGUCCGUGCCUUACAGCUCGGUGAACAUUGUGGACUACAUUCAUUGUUUGGCUCCCAUCUGGUUCACUUUCUCCCAAAAAAUCAUAAAUCACUGGAUCGAGGUUGUGUGUUCAACCAGCUAUACACAGUUGAUAGGUUUUGCAUUUGCAAAGGAAUUGGAAUAACAGAAACAUCUUUGUCUUAUCUGAACCCAAUUACCCAUAAAGAUGUGCCCACUGAUAUCAGACCUGGUUCAACAUUUCUAGCCUUCAGUGCGACAAAGAUAAUUUUCCAAAUAGAAGUUCAGAAUAAACCUCUGUUGUCUGCUAAAUUUGUAACA